AUCCUUUUCCGGUUCAUAAGUGUGAUGAUUGGGUUCUCACGCGCUUGCGUGACAUGUGCCUCCCUCUAAACCUUGUUACGACGUGGGCACAUUACCCUUCUGACG
rnacentral:snoRNA from 2 species